rnacentral:rRNA from 1 species
UACGUAGGGUGCAAGCGUUGUCCGGAAUUAUUGGGCGUAAAGAGCUCGUAGGCGGUCUGUCGCGUCGGAUGUGAAAAUCAGGGCUCAACCCUGGACCUGCAUUCGAUACGGGCAGACUAGAGUUCGGUAGGGGAGACUGGAAUUCCUGGUGUAGCGGUGAAAUGCGCAGAUAUCGGGAGGAACACCAGUAGCGAAGGCGGCUCGCUGGGCCAUUCCUGACGCUGAGACGCGAAAGCUAGGGGAGCGAACGAGGAAUUAUAGA